rnacentral:rRNA from 1 species
ACACGCUGGCGGCGUGCCUAACACAUGCAAGUCGAACGAACAGAGGAGAGCUUGCUCUCCGACGUUAGUGGCGGACGGGUGAGUAACGCGUGAGGAACCUGCCCUUCAGAGGGGGACAACAGUUGGAAACGACUGCUAAUACCGCAUGAUGUACAUUUGGGACAUCCCUUAUGUACCAAAGGAGCAAUCCGCUGAAGGAUGGCCUCGCGUCCGAUUAGAUAGUUGGUGGGGGUUAAACGGCCCACCAAGUCGACGAUCGGUAGCCGGACUGAGAGGUUGAACGGCCACAUUGGGACUGAGACACGGCCCAGACUCCUACGGGAGGCAGCAGUGGGGAAUAUUGCACAAUGGGGGAAACCCUGAUGCAGCGACGCCGCGUGAACGAUGAAGUAUUUCGGUAUGUAAAGCUCUAUCAGCAGGGAAGAAAAUGACGGUACCUGACUAAGAAGCCCCGGCUAACUACGUG